GGGGCCGUAGCGCAGAGGUCGUCGCGUCCCUUUGGCAAAGGGGAGGACGCCGGUUCGAAUCCGGCCGGCCUCGCC
rnacentral:tRNA from 1 species